rnacentral:lncRNA from 1 species
UCCUGGCACCUCUCAUAUUUCACUAUAGCCCUCUUCGUCUCUCCCUCACAGCCUCUUCCUUGGAUUCUUUCCUCUCUAACACCUCUCCCUCUCUUCCACGUGCUUCUCCUCCCUUGCUCUUCUUCUCCUCCUCCUCUUCUUCACCUUCUUCUUCUCUCCUUCUCCUGCUCCUAGUUCUACGUCUCUUUUAUUAAGGAAAGAAGAAAAAAGAGAGAACGAAAGGCAGAGAGGAGAGACCCUCUAUUUCUUCCUCCCUCUUACCAUGUGCAUUUUGUGUAUGUGUUGUUGGAAAAUGUAUGCCAAAGCCAAUCGUUAGAUGAUUGUACUCAUCUUGUAA